GGCACGCCUUAUACAUGCAAGUCGAACGAAGUAGCAAUACUUAGUGGCAGACGGGUGAGUAACAUGUAGGUAUCUUCCCUUUGGUGAGGAAUAACACGAGGAAACUUGUGCUAAUACCUCAUAAGUCUUUACGGAGAAAGCUUUAUGCGCCGAAGGAUGAGCCUGCACUUGAUUAGUUUGUUGGUGGGGUAAUGGCCUACCAAGACUUUGAUCUAUAGCUGAUCUGAGAGGAUGAUCAGCCACAUUGGGACUGAGACACGGCCCAAACUCCUACGGGAGGCAGCAGUAGGGAAUAUUGCACAAUGGAGGAAACUCUGAUGCAGCGAUGCCGCGUGAGUGAAGAAGGCCUUUGGGUUGUAAAGCUCUUUCGUCGGGGAAGAAAAUGACUGUACCCGAAUAAGAAGGUCCGGCUAACUUCGUGCCAGCAGCCGCGGUAAUACGAAGGGACCUAGCGUAGUUCGGAAUUACUGGGCUUAAAGAGUUCGUAGGUGGUUAAAAAAGUUGGUGGUGAAAUCCCAGAGCUUAACUCUGGAACUGCCAUCAAAACUUUUUAGCUAGAGUAUGAUAGAGGAAAGCAGAAUUUCUAGUGUAGAGGUGAAAUUCGUAGAUAUUAGAAAGAAUACCAAUUGCGAAGGCAGCUUUCUGGAUCAUUACUGACGCUGAGGAACGAAAGCAUGGGUAGCGAAGAGGAUUAGAUACCCUCGUAGUCCAUGCCGUAAACGAUGUGUGUUAGACGUUGGAAAUUUAUUUUCAGUGUCGCAGCGAAAGCAUUAAACACACCGCCUGGGGAGUACGACCGCAAG
rnacentral:rRNA from 1 species